rnacentral:lncRNA from 1 species
GGAGAAGUGGACAGGAAGAGUAAGGCCCUCGGAUCACUCCAGCAUCUGCAAAGCCCACGUUUCCCGGCCCUGCACUGUGAGAUAGCCUCAGCUCAGAAACCAGCGUGUGGGGUCACAUCGCCCGGCAACGAUGAUUUGUGGAACGCUAGAAUUCUCCACAUGCAAAUCUAGUUUGCCUUAAAGUAAAGAGAUAGCUAUACCUAGGAAAUGUAUACACACAGCGCAAGUAUAUUUGAGGUGAUCGUUUGCGACGACUCGCUUCCAAUUCUGAUUAGAAGCUGAGGAGAAUCUGCAACCGCGAGGAGAAAACCACUCCGAGCCACCCCACGAGCGAGCGAAGGUCUUGGAACCAGAGAGAAAGGAAAGGAAGAGACACACGUAGAGAGCAUGUGUUACCUGGUUUAUUUCAAGAUUGUUUGAUACCGUGUUCUCUCUGGGCUCCUCUCAUUUCGGAAGGCCAUCAGAGGCGCCCACCACUGAGCCGCCCCUGCCCGCAGCCGCAGCCCCCGGAGCCCAGGGCCCGGCUUCCCCGCGGCGCUGCAGCCCGAGCUCGCCGCCUCCCGGGCCCAGGAACCGAGUAAGUAACCCCUGCUCGGCCCAGCGCGGCCCGCUCACUUCCUCCUCCUCCUCCUCUUCCCAAAGGCCCAAACCUCUCCCCACCGCCUCCUCCAAGGUUAGGGCGCCCCUCGGCACACACGCCCGGGCUGGGCCUCCCGCGCCCUGGGCGCACAGCUCCGGCUGGAACCGCACCUUAGACAAGGGGCCCAAUUUUGCUGCGGGCUCAGAAAUGCCAGCGCCAGGCCUGCAGGGCCGACUCAGAAAGUAGUGCCUGGCCUCUUCCUCCUCCAUUUCCAGCUCUCGGCUCGCAUCCUCUCCCUGCACUCCCACUCUUCCCUCCACCACCCUUCCAUCACCACCACCCCCGCUUUUAAAAAUAAAAUUGGAUACAAACUUUAAUCAAUAAGGACAAAUAUUGACGCUCAAGCGCAAAUGGCCCAACACAAUGAGAAGGACGCCGACAGUGUGAGCUAUCUAUCUGCCCUAGGAGAGGGGGUUCGGUGGAACGGAGCCGACGGGGCGCAGGGAGUGGCGGGGUGCAGAGCGGGGCUGCGGAGCGGCUGCUCCCCGGGGUAUCCGUGCGCGGCUCCGCGGGUCCGAGCCCCGCGCGCGGAGGGG